CACACUAUACAAACUUGCCUGAUUACUGUACUAACAGAGCAUGAAACUUAAAGUAGCUCACAUUUAAAUCCUGCAGAUAUGAAAAGAUAUA